UACCGGAUACUAGAUCCGCCNGGGCUUCCAUGGCGGUUCGAAAGCUCCGGCGGUGCAGGAUGAGCCCGCGGCCUAUCAGCUUGUUGGUGAGGUAGUGGCUCACCAAGGCGACGACGGGUAGCCGGCCUGAGAGGGCGACCGGCCACACUGGGACUGAGACACGGCCCAGACUCCUACGGGAGGCAGCAGUGGGGAAUAUUGCACAAUGGGCGAAAGCCUGAUGCAGCGACGCCGCGUGAGGGAUGACGGCCUUCGGGUUGUAAACCUCUUUCAGCAGGGAAGAAGCGAAAGUGACGGUACCUGCAGAAGAAGCGCCGGCUAACUACGUGCCAGCAGCCGCGGUAAUACGUAGGGCGCAAGCGUUGUCCGGAAUUAUUGGGCGUAAAGAGCUCGUAGGCGGCUUGUCACGUCGGUUGUGAAAGCCCGGGGCUUAACCCCGGGUCUGCAGUCGAUACGGGCAGGCUAGAGUUCGGUAGGGGAGAUCGGAAUUCCUGGUGUAGCGGUGAAAUGCGCAGAUAUCAGAGGAACACCGGUGGCGAAUGCGGAUCUCUGGGCCGAUACUGACGCUGAGGAGCGAAAGCGUGGGGAGCAAACAGA
rnacentral:rRNA from 1 species